rnacentral:lncRNA from 1 species
GAGCUGGGGAUUAGGACCUCCAGGACUUGUAGGCUAGGUUAACUGGUCUUUUUCCUUCUAAAAGCCAAGUGGCUUGGAGCAGGGACGCUAAGAAAUUCAGGCUGCUGAGAAGAUACUGAUCAGGUUGGAAAGCCACUUUUCUUCUCCCUCCUACCCGAUUAAACUGGAAAGAUCGAAGACAUCCUUCAGCCCCUGCUCCCUGCUUGGCCUGGACUCUGAACACAUGAUUUUCUUCUGGCUCUGACCUCUCAGUGGGAAGACACACUUUCCCUUUGCUCUUACAGCUGGGGAGCCAAAACUCCAAAGACUUCAUCCCUGAACCAUGCCCACUAACGGACUCACUUUAAUAAUGUUUCCUUCUGCUGCUGCUGCUGCUUCUGGAGGGAGAUUGUUUGACCUGUGUUUGGAAAACAUGCCGAAUUAACAGAGGAAAAGGCGUGGAAAGCAGCCUUGUGCAGGCCCGGGCUGGGCUGGGCUGGACUGGAUGGCUAGGUCCAGCACCGGGCUGUUGAAUUCUUCCUAAUAAGCCUCUAGCGUGGGACACUGUCACAACCUGGUGUUAAAUUCCAGCCCAGCAAGGGGUCUGGGACGCUUCCCCAGCAGUGAGAAUCCUUCCCAAGGUGGCUUCUCCAGGAGGGAGCUUGCUGAGGGAGUGGGGUCUGCUGUUGCUGUGCUUGCCAGAUAGAGGAUUGGUCUGAGGACCGAAAGGGAAAGCCCAGCCUGAGGUCACAAAGCCAGGUGAAAGCAGAAUUUGGGUUUGAUGCAAGACCCAAGGGUCCUAUGGGCAACGCUGGAACUUUCUUUCGGCUCUUUGUAUCACACUCAGGUGAGAUUUGGGGUCACCACACAGACUGGUGGAGAAGCCCACAUUUCCCCAAGGCAGGUUGGCAUGCCAGGCAAGCAUCAUUAUGGCCUUUAAGGAUCUUCCUCGUUCAUAAGACCACAACACACUUCCAGUUCAGCUGCAACCAGCAAAACUUCCUGCCAUGCCCGGUGAUUACUGAGAGAUUUAAUGGAAUUUACUUCUGUGUCCUUGGGCCCAUGAUGAGCUGCCAAGGCCCAGACAGGGGCUCCUUCCACCCCUCCCCUGGGCUAUGUGAUUUGGGGCAAAGAUAAGGAGGAACUUGUUUCCUCGGGUCUAGAAUGGGGAAUAACCUCUACUUCCUGGGGCUGGGAUGAUUAAAUGACA